UAAAUUGAAGACGUGGGCCUUUGAUCGUUUGAUGAUGUUGCAGUUUUCUUUGUUUUACAUGCCGAGAGACCGAGAUGUGCAGCGGACGAUUAAAGAGGACAUUGACAUCCAUAGAGGUGAGUCACACACAUUGAUGGAAGCGAUGGCUGUUUUGUGUCAUCUGUGUCAUGUUUGCACUUUGUUCGGGUUCUUUGCAUGUCUAACUCUUUGCUUUGACACACUCUGUCCUUGAGGUGUUGGCUGUUUUCCAUCUGGGUCACGUUUGGACUUAAUGCUGGUCACUCGUCUGCGUCAUUCAUGGCUUUGACAUAAAUUGAAGACAUGGGACUUUGAUUGUUUGCUGAUGUCGCCAUUUUCUUUGUUUCUUUUACAUGCCGAGAGACCGAGAUGUGCAGUGGACGAUUAAAGAGGACGUUGACAUCCAUAGAGGUGAGUCAUACACAUUUACGGAAGCGAUGGCCGUUUUGUGUCGUCUGUGUCAUGUUUGCACUUUGUUCGGGUUCUUUGCAUGUCUAACUCUUUGCUUUGACACACUCUGUCCUUGAGGUGUUGGCUGUUUUCCAUCUGGGUCACAUUUGGACUUAAUCCUGGUCACUUGUCUGCGUCAUUCAUGGCUUUGACAUAAAUUGAAGACAUGGGACUUUGAUUGUUUGCUGAUGUUGCCUUUUUCUUUGUUUGUUUUACAUGUCGAGAGACGAGAUGUGCAGUGGACGAUUAAAGAGGACAUUGACAUCCAUAGAGGUGAGUCAUACACAUUGACAGAAGCGAUGGUUGUUUUGUGUUGUCUGUCAUGUUUGCACUUUGUUCGGGUUCUUUGCAUGUCUAACUCUUUGCUUUGACACACUCUGUCCUUGAGGUGUUGGCUGUUUAGCAUCUGGGUCACGUUUGGACUUUAUCCUGGUCACUUGUCUGUGUCAUUCAUGGCUUUGACAUAAAUUGAAGACAUGGGACUUUGAUUGUUUGCUGAUGUCGCCAUUUUCUCUGUUUCUUUUACAUGCCGAGAGACGAGAUCUGCAGUGGACGAUUAAAGACGACGUUGACAUCCAUAGAGGUGAGUUUGUUCUUUUCUCACACUUUGCUAUUUUUCUACUUUCCUCUUUUCUCACACUUUGCUAUUUUCACACUUUGUUCUUUUUCCUCUUUUCUCACACUUUGCUAUUUUCACACUUUGUUCUUUUUCCUCUUUCCUCACACUUUGUUCUUUUUCCUCUUUCCUCACACUUUGCUAUUUUCACACUUUGUUUUUUUUCCAUACUUUGUUCUUUUUCCUCUUUUUUCACACUUUGCUAUUUUCACACUUUGUUCUUUUUCCUCUUUCCUCACACUUUGCUAUUUUCCCACACUUUGCUAUUUUCACACUUUGUUCUUUUUCCUCUUUUUUCACACUU
ensembl:lncRNA